CCCUUCAAAAACACUUUAAACUUUGUAGAGAUAAAAUUCUCAGAUGUAUUCCACAUUUAACCAGGCCCCACUCAAAUUAUUCCUUUUUGCUGAAUAUGAAACAAUUUGUUAUUUGUUUUGUAUAGCUUUAUUUUUUGAGAGUCUCGCUCUGUCGCCCAGGCUGAAGUGCAGUGGCACGAUCUCCACCCACUGCAAUCUCCGUCUCCCGGGUUCAAGUGAUUCUCCUGCCUCAGCCUCCUGAGUAGCUGGGACUACAGGCCCGCACCACCAUGCCCGGCUAAUUACUGUAUUUUUAGUAGAGACGGGGUUUCACCAUGUUGGCCAGGCUGGUCUCAAACUCGUGGCCUCAAGUGAUCCGCCUGGGUCAGCCUCCCAAAGUGCUGAGAUUACAGGCAUGAGCCACCGUGUCGGUCCUGUUUUGUGUAACUUUAGUUUGGCCACAUCUUUUCUUGCACCUCUCCUUAGACAAACUGUACACUAAUUGGAAAUGUAAACUUUAAAAAGCAUUUGGGAAGUAGUUUUUGUGCAGUGAAAAAUAAUUUUAAACUGAACAGAAAUUAUUUUCUUUAGGAUUCGCCUAAACAAUCUGUUUGGCUAAUUUAAAUUAGACAAGACUCAAACUCAGCCAGUGGGGAGGACUUGCAGACGCUGGAUCUCGGGAGAGGGCUACGUUGGAGAAGUUUAACCGACCCCAAGGCUUUUACCCUCAUCGGAUUCUUUUCCAGAAUGCCCAGGGCCAGUUUUUAUUUACAUUCGUUUUAUUUAUUUUAUUUUUAUUUUUUAUUUUUGAGACAGAGUCUCGUUCUGUUGCCCAGGCUGGAGUGCAGUGGUGUGAUCUCGGCUCACUGCAAGCUCCGCCUCCCGGGUUCACGCCGUUCUCCUGCCUCAGCCUCCCAAGUAGCUGGGACUACAGGCAUCCGCCACCACACCCGGUUAAUUUUUUGUAUUUUUAGUAGAGACGGGGUUUCACCGUGUUAGCCAGGAUGGUCUUGAUCUCCUGACUUCAUGAUCCGUCUGCCUUGGCCUCCCAAAGUGCUGGGAUUACAAGCGUGAGCCACUGCACCUGGCCAAUUUUAUUUUAUUUACAUUCAUUUUACGUACAUCUUUUCAAAAGCAUGUUUAUUGCAUUAAGUGAUUGCUGUACUGUUUAUUUCAUGACUAUUAGAGUGUAAAUUCCUUGAAGGCAGUAUCAUGCCAUCUCUUUUGUAUCCUCCUCUGCUUUGUAUAUCACACUCUGAAUAUAAUUCUUGUCACUGUGGAUUUGGGCUCCCUUUCUAUGUCCAAUUCCUCUUCCCUUAUUUAGGCUCAGGGGAGAGAGAAAGCCCAGAAAGAAAGCUACUCCAGGGUCCUAUGGAUAUUUCAGAGAAGUUAUUUUGUUCAACUUGUGACCAGACCUUCCAGAACCACCAAGAACAGAGGGAACAUUAUAAGCUUGACUGGCAUCGGUUUAACCUAAAGCAACGUCUCAAGGACAAGCCUCUCCUGUCUGCCCUGGACUUUGAAAAGCAGAGUUCCACAGGAGAUCUUUCCAGCAUCUCGGGAUCAGAAGACUCAGACUCAGCCAGUGAGGAGGACUUGCAGACACUGGAUCGGGAGAGGGCUACAUUUGAGAAGUUGAGCCGACCCCCAGGCUUUUACCCUCAUCGAGUUCUUUUCCAGAAUGCCCAGGGCCAGUUUCUUUAUGCCUACCGCUGUGUCCUAGGCCCUCAUCAGGAUCCCCCAGAAGAGGCAGAACUGCUGCUACAGAACCUGCAAAGUAGAGGUCCCAGAGACUGCGUGGUGCUCAUGGCUGCAGCUGGGCACUUUGCUGGUGCUAUAUUUCAAGGAAGAGAAGUGGUGACACACAAAACUUUUCACCGCUAUACGGUUCGGGCCAAGCGGGGCACAGCCCAGGGGCUUCGGGAUGCCCGAGGUGGGCCAUCACGCUCUGCUGGAGCCAACCUGAGGCGCUACAAUGAAGCCACACUAUAUAAGGAUGUUCGUGACCUGCUGGCAGGGCCAAGCUGGGCUAAGGCGCUGGAGGAGGCUGGUACAAUACUGUUGCGUGCUCCCCGCUCUGGCCGGUCUUUGUUCUUUGGAGGCAAGGGAGCACCCCUGCAAAGGGGGGAUCCCCGACUUUGGGAUAUCCCCCUCGCCACCCGCAGACCCACCUUCCAAGAGCUACAGCGUGUGCUCCAUAAGCUGACCACUUUGCAUGUCUAUGAAGAAGACCCUCGGGAAGCAGUCAGACUGCACUCACCUCAGACACACUGGAAAACAGUAAGAGAGGAGAGAAAGAAGCCUACUGAGGAAGAAAUAAGAAAGAUCUGCAGUGACGAAAAGGAAGCGCUGGGGCAGAAUGAGGAAUCUCCCAAACAGGGUUUGAUUACUAUCUGGCAACUGUCAGAUCUGAGUUUCUGUCCUAAAAAUGCACUGGCAAAUUCCCUACUCUCAAAACUGACCCAUUUCCUUAUUUAAACACACACCCACAGUGUCUAUCUUAGCAAUUACUGAGACAUGUUUAGUGACCUUUCCAAAUCUAUUAUCUCUUUUGUUAUGGAUGUUUCCCCAGAGCUAAGAAAAUCUUUGUGUGGAGCAGAUGCGUGGAUGUGUUGCAUGGAUCUCACAUAGUUUAUCUUUGAUUGGAUGCUGUGGUUUGAGGCUGAGGGCUGCUUCCAUGCUUUCCUCUAUUGUGCGGCAUCCUAAGGCUACUCAUAGGGAGAGUCCAGGGACUUGUUCUUGUCUGGGCUGAGAGCCUCAUUUCUGCAUGUGAUAUAAUGGACUCAGCUCUUGAUGUGCUACUUUAUCUGGGU
rnacentral:sRNA from 1 species